CCAGACUCCUACGGGAGGCAGCAGUGAGGAAUAUUGGUCAAUGGGCGAGAGCCUGAACCAGCCAAGUCGCGUGAAGGACGACGGUUCUAUGGAUUGUAAACUUCUUUUGUAGAGGAAUAACGGUAGCUACGUGUAGCUGAGAUGCAUGUACUCUACGAAUAAGUAUCGGCUAACUCCGUGCCAGCAGCCGCGGUAAUACGGAGGAUACGAGCGUUAUCCGGAAUUAUUGGGUUUAAAGGGUGCGUAGGUGGCGUAUUAAGUCAGUGGUGAAAAGCUGCAGCUCAACUGUAGUCUUGCCGUUGAAACUGAUAUGCUAGAGAGGAGACGAGGUAUGCGGAAUGUGUGGUGUAGCGGUGAAAUGCAUAGAUAUCACACAGAACGCCGAUUGCGAAGGCAGCGUACCAGGCUCCGUCUGACACUGAAGCACGAAAGCGUGGGGAUCAAACAGGAUUAGAUACCCUGGUAGUCCACGCAGUAAACGAUGAAUACUAGAUUUUUGCGAUAUAGUGUAAGAGUCUAAGCGAAAGCGAUAAGUAUUCCACCUGGGGAGUACGCCGGCAACGGUGAAACUCAAAGGAAUUGACGGGGGCCCGCACAAG
rnacentral:rRNA from 1 species